rnacentral:rRNA from 1 species
AUUGAACGCUGGCGGCAGGCUUAACACAUGCAAGUCGAACGAGUGGCGGCCGGGUGAGUAAUGCUUGGGAAUCUUGCUUAUGGUGGGGGCUCACUACGGGAAACUGUCGCUAAUACCGCGUACCAUAGGAUGAGCCCAAGUGGGAUUAGGUAGUUGGUGUGGUAAAGGCUCACAAAGGCGACGAUCUCUAGCUGGUCUGCGAGGAUGACCAGCCACACUGGGACUGAGACACGGCCCAGACUCCUACGGGAGGCAGCAGUGGGGAAUAUUGCGCAAUGGGGGCAACCUGACGCAGCCAGGCCGCUUGAAUGAAGAGGGCCUUCGGGUUGUAAAGUUCUUUCGGUAGCGAGGCGUUAACUACAGAAGAAGCACCGGCUAACUCCGUGCCAGCCGCCGCGGUAAUUC